rnacentral:rRNA from 1 species
GAUGAACGCUGGCGGCGUGCUUAACGCAUGCAAGUCGUACGUGAAGGGGUUUUCGGACUCCUGAAAGUGGCGAACGGGUGAGUAAUACGUAGAUGACCUGCCUUAAAGUGGGGGAUAACUACUGGAAACGGUGGCUAAUACCGCAUAGAGCUGUGACCGUUGGGAGGUUGCAGGGAAAGCUCCGGCGCUUAGAGAGGGGUCUACGUCCGAUUAGCUAGUUGGUGGGGUAAAGGCCUACCAAGGCGACGAUCGGUAGCUGGUCUGAGAGGACGAUCAGCCACACGGGAACUGAGACACGGUCCCGACUCCUACGGGGGGCAGCAGCGAGGAAUAUUGGGCAAUGGGCGAAAGCCUGACCCAGCAACGCCGCGUGAAGGAAGAAGGCCUUCGGGUUGUAAACCUCUUUUAGUAGGGAAGAAGCGAAAGUGACGGUACCUGCAGAAAAAGCAACGGCUAACUACGUGCCAGCAGCCGCCGUAA